UAUUUUUUCUGGAUCUAUUUUUGGCUGUUCCAAUUUUAACAAACAGGUAUCAGAGCUGGAAUGUUCGUUUCGGUGUUUAAAGCGUCGACGAAGUUUGAGAUCGAGAAGUUUGAUCGCUCCAGCAAUUUUGCUCUACGACAAGUUGUCGUUUUGAUGCAACAAAGUUGCAAAAGGCGUAAUUGGAGAAGGAGAAGAUUGGCACUUCAGAAAAUUCCGCGGAUUUGCUCAUUAAGUUUUU
rnacentral:lncRNA from 1 species